CUUGAACAGACGGAAAGAGCAGAAAGGAAUACACAAAGGACAGGAAGGGAGCGGCUCCAAGGAGGUGUAAUUGGUGAAGAAACCGCCCCACCGGGGGCGUUGGUGCUCAGCCCUGUCUCCUGGGCCAGUGUGAAGGCCAGUAAGUGGCAUUUGACAUGGGUGAGCACUUCCCAAUGCUUCCUUCCAGGAUGUCCCUGAUGGGGCCACAGAACCUGGCGGGUGCUAUCUAGUGUACUUUGGACGGGGCCAAUGCUAACAGCCCACAUUGGCCGAGAGUUGCGCACAUCGCGUGUGGGCGUUUAUGGAUAUUGCCUUGUUUACUGCAGCUGCCGCGGAGAGCAUCCAAGCAGCCAAGCUCACGUGUUUAUGACCCACCCAAGUCCACAGAGCCGUAUGUGUCCACAGCAAGAGGAGUUCCAGAUGAGAAAAGCUCAAAAGGACGCGUGACUGAGAGCAGGUGUGGACGACACCUCCAGGAACCCCCAAGGUGGACCCGGUAUGAUCACAGAGCCCAUAAAAGUGGAAGGAGAAGGCCGGCAGUGUGUCCCAGAGAUGCGCUGUAAGAAAGACUCCCUGGCCCUUGCUGGCUUUCAGUGGAGGAAGGGGCCGCAAGCCAAGGAUCGCAGCAUGGAAGGGUGGGGGCAAAGUGCGUGACUCGCCCUACCUGUGGGGCUUAGAACACACUUUGGGGGACACAAGUUCACACCAUUUCAAUACUCGGCUCCUCUUAGGUGGCAGUAGUGCACACACUUCUGUUCUCGUGGGUCUGAGCUGACUGUGGGUGAGGACAGCUCCCUCCAUGCACACCUGGCAUGGGCCAUGUACAACCUGCCAUAUGCCUUCUCCUCUGGGGAGCUUUCAGCACCCUGGACAGUGCUCGCCAGGCCAGGGACCUGUUUCCAAGGUGCUUAGACAGAGGCGUUCUGGGUCUUCAGAGCGGUUCCUAGCAGCCUGUAGCCAAGGAUGUCCAUGGUCUCCAUGUGGCAAGUCAGAAGCAAGUGUGCGUGUCCAGGGCCCAGUGCCUUAGACUUCACCCCAGCUCCCUGGUGCUAUCAGGGGAGGGAGGAGGGAAGGAAGGACUGAAGAGUG
rnacentral:lncRNA from 1 species